rfam:Sphaeroforma arctica JP610 cont1.2745, whole genome shotgun sequence.
UUGACCUUACUCUACAGGAUUUCAUUUCUAUAGUAAGCGUCUGUAUCUUGUUCUUUCCGAACUAGACACAUUAUUCAGACUCGAUGAAGAGGCUGAUGCUUAUGCAUGCAAUUGGAUGCGGAUGUUCCCAUUCACGUUAGUGUACGGGUUCAUCAUUGAUGAUAAUCAUCAUGCAGGGCCUCACUGAGAGUC